rnacentral:lncRNA from 1 species
GUGCUAGCAAAGAUGUCCGGGAAGGACAGAAAAGAAUGUAAUGUGCAAUUAAAACAAGGGAGAGUGAUUAAUGUAGGCAAAAAUUAAUCACAAGGGCAGUGUCAAAGUUUGGUGGGACAACUGCGUGUUCAGAAGACACCUGAAAAAAGUGAAAUGAAGAACCAAGGAUCAUCUGAGCAAAGACUCAAGGACCAUUUGAACAAAGACAUCCACAUCUAUACCACAGAUGACUUGGCAUCUAUGGAGGAGUGGAGGUGAGCACCACUCUACCAUGUAGAGGAAGCAGCCACUGUGGAGGCUGGGCUUGUGGAGAUUCCUUCUGGAUGCCCUCAGAUCUGUCAUUAAUGGGGACAAAGCAGAAUCAAGGGACUGCUCUAUCUCAUCUACCACUACCAGCUCCACCAUCCAGGGUACUGUUCUUGCCACUGCAUCUAGAAAGAAGAGGAAUGCAAUCUUGCAGUUAGAAAAGGCUGUCUCGCUGAAUAUUUAUUCUCAUUCCUCUACCCAAAACUAAUGAAAAUGUGAAGUCUGAGUGGUGUCUGAACCUAAUAUUUUCGUGUCCGAGGCACACAAGGUUGAGCUGCCACUUCUAGCCAUCUGAACCACCCAGUGUGAGCAUAUAUGUGGCUGGGAGGGUGGGUGGUGAUGGUGGUGGUAGGGAGGUGGGGGAGACUUCUAAUGAGAGGCAGUAGAGAGUAGGGUCUAAGAGUAGGUACUCUAGAGUCACACUGAUUUCGGUUCAAACCCCAGGUC